AGAAAAGAAAAGUCUAGAAGAAAAGAGAAGAAGAAAAAAAAAACUUGAGCUAGAGAGAGAGCGCUACGGUUUUGGGGAGAAAAAGCCCCAAAACGUUAACAAACAGCCCCGAAGUUUCAGCUGCGCUAAAGAAAAUUUCGAGGCGAGUUCUGGCAAGUUUUGGCGAGUUUCGGGUAAGGUACAGACGCACAGUUUGGAGACCCACCAGCUUAGGACUCCUAUCAGCAAGUUCGGGAGAGCUUCAUUGUAUCGGAGCUUAGCUAUGGUAUUGAUCCCUUGACGUAUAUAUUUGUUUUGUUCAUUCAGGGGUACGGCGGGGGCUCUGUCCCGCCUUAUGUGUACUGUUCUUACUCUUAGAGGUCGGUAAACAUGAAUGUGGAUUGUAUAUGUAUGUAUGUGUAGUGGUGCCUAUCAGACUGAUGUUUUGGGACGUCCCCUUUGUCACGAUAGCCUCAUCGGCUUAUAUGUUAUCAUGUCUGUUGAUACAUUAUGACUCAAACAGGGGACAAAUUUAUUUAUCGUUAGCAGGGGUGUAUGCGAGCGUCCAGUUCGGACAUCCGUCGCAGCCUA